rnacentral:rRNA from 1 species
CCUACGGGUGGCAGCAGUGAGGAAUAUUGGUCAAUGGGCGUAAGCCUGAACCAGCCAAGUCGCGUGCGGGAUGAAGGUUCUAUGGAUCGUAAACCUCUUUUAUAAGGGAAUAAAGUGUGGGACGUGUCCUAUUUUGUAUGUACCUUAUGAAUAAGGAUCGGCUAACUCCGUGCCAGCAGCCGCGGUAAUACGGAGGAUCCGAGCGUUAUCCGGAUUUAUUGGGUUUAAAGGGUGCGUAGGCGGCCUUUUAAGUCAGCGGUGAAAGGCUGGGGCUCAACCAUGGAAUUGCCGGUGAAACUGGGGGGCUUGAGUAUGUUUGAGGCAGGCGGAAUGCGUGGUGUAGCGGUGAAAUGCUUAGAUAUCACGAAGAACCCCGAUUGCGAAGGCAGCCUGCCAAGCCAUGACUGACGCUGAUGCACGAAAGCGUGGGGAUCAAACAGGAUUAGAUACCCCUGUAGUC